rnacentral:rRNA from 1 species
AUUGAACGCUGGCGGCAGGCCUAACACCUGCAAGUCGAACGAGUGGCGGACGGUUGAGUAAUGUCUGGGCAACUGCCUGAUGGAGGGGGAUAACUACUGGAAACGGUAGCUAAUACCGCAUACCCUCAGAUGUGCCCAGAUGGGAUUGGCUAGUUGGGGGGGUAACGGCUCACCAAGGCGACGAUCCCUAGCUGGUCUGAGAGGCUGACCAGCCACACUGGAACUGUGACACGGUCCAGACUCCUACGGGAGUCAGCAGUGGGGAAUAUUGCACACUGGGCGAAAGCCUGAUGCAGCCAUGCCGCGUGUAUGAAGAAGGCCUUCGGGUUGUAAAGUACUUUCAGCGGGGAGGCGUUACCCGCAGAAGAAGCACCGGCUAACGCCGUGCCAGCAGCCGCGGUAAUUC